rnacentral:rRNA from 1 species
UCCUACGGGGCGCAGCAGUAGGGAAUCUUCCACAAUGGGCGAAAGCCUGACGCAGCAACGCCGCGUGAUUGAAGAAGGCCUUCGGGUUGUAAAGAUCUUUAAUCAGGGACGAAAAAUGACGGUACCUGAAGAAUAAGCUCCGGCUAACUACGUGCCAGCAGCCGCGGUAAUACGUAGGGAGCAAGCGUUAUCCGGAUUUACUGGGUGUAAAGGGCGUGUAGGCGGGCUUGUAAGUCAGAAGUGAAAUCUGGGGGCUUAACCCCCAA